rnacentral:rRNA from 1 species
CCUACGGGAGGCAGCAGUGGGGAAUAUUGCACAAUGGGGGAAACCCUGAUGCAGCGACGCCGCGUGAGUGAAGAAGUAAUUCGUUAUGUAAAGCUCCAUCAGCAGGGAAGAAAAUGACGGUACCCGAGCAAGAAGCCCCGGCUAACGACGUGCCAGCAGCCGUGGCAACACGCAGGGGGCAAGCGUUAUCCGGAUUUACUGGGCGUAAAGGGAGCGUAGACGGGUAAGCAAGUUAGUUGUGAAAUCCCUCGGCUUAACUGAGGAACUGCAACUGAAACUACUUCCCUUGAGUACUGGAGAGGAAAGUGGAAUUCGUGGUGUAGCGGUGAAAUGCGUAGAGAUUGGGAGGAACACCAGUGGCGAAGGCGGCUUUCUGGACAGUAACUGACGUUGAGGCACGAAAGUGUGGGGAGCGAACAGGAUUAGAUACCCGGGUAGUC